rnacentral:rRNA from 1 species
GACGAACGCUGGCGGCGUGCUUAACACAUGCAAGUCGAGCGGUAAGGCCCUUCGGGUACGACGAGCGGCGAACGGGUGAGUAACACGUGGGUGACCUGCCUCUAGCUCUGGGAUAAGCCUGGGAAACUGGGUCUAAUACCGGAUAUGACUCCACGGCGCAUGUUGUGGGGUGGAAANCCUUGUGUGGCUAGAGAUGGGCCCGCGGCCUAUCAGCUUGUUGGUGGGGUGAUGGCCACCAAGGCGACGACGGUAGCCGGCCUGAGAGGGCGACCGGCCACACUGGGACUGAGACACGGCCCAGACUCCUACGGGAGGCAGCAGUGGGGAAUCUUGCGCAAUGGGCGAAAGCCUGACGCAGCGACGCCGCGUGA